AUUGAACGCUGGCGGCAGGCCUAACACAUGCAAGUCGAGCGAGCGGCGGACGGGUGAGUAAUGUAUGGGGAUCUGCCUGAUAGAGGGGGAUAACUACUGGAAACGGUGGCUAAUACCGCAUACUAUCGGAUGAACCCAUAUGGGAUUAGCUAGUAGGUGGGGUAAAGGCUCACCUAGGCGACGGUCGCUAGCUGGUCUGAGAGGAUGAUCAGCCACACGGGGACGGGGACACGGCCAAGACUCCUACGGGAGGAAGCAGUGGGGAAUAUUGCACAAUGGGGGCAAGCCUGAUGCAGCCAUGCCGCGUGUAUGAAGAAGGCCUUAGGGUUGUAAAGUACUUUCAGCGGGGAGGCGUUACCCGAAGAAGAAGCAACGGCUAACUCCGUGCCAGCAGCCGCGGUAAUUC
rnacentral:rRNA from 1 species